UCACUAAGAGGAAAACUGGUCAGGCAAGGUCACCGACAUCGGAGGGUCAGCUUUGUGACCGCGGCAAUCUUUUUUGAUAAGUUCAGUAGAGGUAUUAUCUUCACCUAUGUAUAUGCAAAAAAGUGCAAAUUGCGUAGCUUCGUGUAGUGUACUACGUAUAAUAAACGUUGCACGCUAGAUGGCGCGACGGUCGGUGGCGGGGAGCGUGGCUAGCGAGUCGCUAGGCGCGCUCAUGCCCGAGGGAACCGCCGAGCGAUUAAUGUGUUACAACUGUAAUCCGGUGUUUUAUUUUCCGUGUACAUACAAAGCGAACCGUACAC
rnacentral:lncRNA from 1 species